CAUGCCUAAUACAUGCAAGUCGAACGAGAUCUUCGGAUCUAGUGGCGCACGGGUGCGUAACGCGUGGGAAUCUGCCCUUGGGUUCGGAAUAACAUCUGGAAACGGAUGCUAAUACCGAAUGAUGACGUAAGUCCAAAGAUUUAUCGCCCAAGGAUGAGCCCGCGUAGGAUUAGCUAGUUGGUGAGGUAAAGGCUCACCAAGGCUACGAUCCUUAGCUGGUCUGAGAGGAUGAUCAGCCACACUGGGACUGAGACACGGCCCAGACUCCUACGGGAGGCAGCAGUAGGGAAUAUUGGACAAUGGGGGCAACCCUGAUCCAGCAAUGCCGCGUGAGUGAUGAAGGCCUUAGGGUUGUAAAGCUCUUUUACCCGAGAUGAUAAUGACAGUAUCGGGAGAAUAAGCUCCGGCUAACUCCGUGCCAGCAGCCGCGGUAAUACGGAGGGAGCUAGCGUUGUUCGGAAUUACUGGGCGUAAAGCGCACGUAGGCGGUUAUUUAAGUCAGAGGUGAAAGCCCGGGGCUCAACCCCGGAACUGCCUUUGAGACUGGAUAACUUGAAUCCAGGAGAGGUGAGUGGAAUUCCGAGUGUAGAGGUGAAAUUCGUAGAUAUUCGGAAGAACACCA
rnacentral:rRNA from 1 species